ACCAGGUAUGGAGGUGCACGCCUGUAAUCCCUGUGGCUCAGGAGGUGGAGGCAGGAGGAUCACGAGUUAAAAGCCAGUCUCAGCAAUUUAGUGAGGCGCUAAGCAACUCAGUGAGACCCUGUCUCUA
rnacentral:sRNA from 1 species